rnacentral:tRNA from 1 species
UAGGUGGAUGCUCGCAGGAUGGAGCGCUUAGCUGUUAACUAAGAGUUUGUAGGAUCAAGGCCUUCCCACCUAG